rnacentral:rRNA from 1 species
GACGAACGCUGGCGGCGUGCUUAACACAUGCAAGUCGAACGGAAAGGCCCCUUUGGGGGUACUCGAGUGGCGAACGGGUGAGUAACACGUGAGUAACCUGCCCUUGACUUCGGGAUAACUUCAGGAAACUGGGGCUAAUACCGGAUAGGAAUCCUUGCUGCAUGGUGGGGGUUGGAAAGCUUCGGCGGUUUUGGAUGGACUCGCGGCUUAUCAGCUUGUUGGUGGGGUAGUGGCUUACCAAGGCUUUGACGGGUAGCCGGCCUGAGAGGGCGACCGGCCACAUUGGGACUGAGAGACGGCCCAGACUCCUACGGGAGGCAGCAGUGGGGAAUAUUGCACAAUGGGCGGAAGCCUGAUGCAGAAACGCCGCGUGCGGGAUGACGGCCUUCGGGUUGUAAACCGCUUUCAGCAGGGGCGAAGCUUGUGGUGACGGUACCUGCAGAAGAAGCACCGGCUAACUACGUG